CCUCCGUUUUUCUGCAGUCUAUACUCAUUCACAAUGGGGGAAACCCUGAUGGUGCGACGCCGCGUGGGGGAAUGAAGGUCUUCGGAUUGUAAACCCCUGUCAUGUGGGAGCAAAUUAAAAAGAUAGUACCACAAGAGGAAGAGACGGCUAACUCUGUGCCAGCAACCGCGGUAAUACAGAGGUCUCAAGCGUUGUUCGGAAUCACUGGUCGUAAAGCGUUCGGAGGCUGUUUCUUAAGUCGUGUGUGAAAGGCGCGGGCUCAACCCGCGGACGGCACAUGAUACUGCGAGACUAGAGUAAUGGAGGGGGAACCGGAAUUCUCGGUGUAGCAGUGAAAUGCGUAGAUAUCGAGAGGAACACUCGUGGCGAAGGCGGGUUCCUGGACAUUAACUGACGCUGAGGCACGAAGGCCAGGGGAGCGAAAGGGAUUAGAUACCCGAGUAGUC
rnacentral:rRNA from 1 species